rnacentral:rRNA from 1 species
CCUACGGGGGGCAGCAGUGAGGAAUAUUGGUCAAUGGGCGAAAGCCUGAACCAGCCAAGUCGCGUGAGGGAUGACUGUCCUAUGGAUUGUAAACUUCUUUUAUAUGGGAAUAAAAUGCUCGACGUGUGGCGUUUUGUAUGUACCUUAUGAAUAAGGAUCGGCUAACUCCGUGCCAGCAGCCGCGGUAAUACGGGGGAUGCGAGCGUUAUCCGGAUUUAUUGGGUUUAAAGGGUGCGCAGGCGGCAUGUCAAGUCAGCGGUAAAAUUUCGGGGCUCAACCUCGGCGGGCCGUUGAAAAUGGGGUGCUUGAGUGGGUGAGAAGUAGGCGGAAUUCGUGGUGUAGCGGGGAAAUGCAUAGAUAUCACGCAGAACCCCGAUUGCGAAGGCAGCAUACCGGCUCUAAACUGACGCUGAGGCACGAAAGCGUGGGUAUCGAACAGGAUUAGAUACCCGAGUAGUC